CAUGCUGUCCAUCACGGUUAACCAGCAGCUGAUACACCGGCUCCAGCUCCUGAGAUAUCUUUCCCAUAGGCAAGCGUGAAGAGCUGCCGUCCGUGACGCAGUGGCUUCCUCGUGUGAGUUAUCUCCUUCUGCCGGUCAUGUCCUUCUCUGCCCUGGACAUAUUUCUUUGAAGGCGCAUUUUUUGACACUUCCCGUAGCUCAGUCUCCAUCAAGAGGCAUACAUGCAGCUGCCUGUCCUGGUCAGGGGGUCCACAGUCUGUCCCAGAAGCUACAGGCAGGGAAUAACCCAGGAUGGGGCACCAACCCAUCACCGGGCAGACUCGCCAUUCUGAAUUUGAAUUUCCCCCUGGGAUCAGUAAAGCCCAUCUUAAUCUGAACUGCUUAUCCAGUACAGGGUCACGGUGAUCCUGGGGGCUGUCCUGGGCAAUACAGGUCACAAGGCAGGGGAUACCUGGGACAUUGUUUUAGUCUCUCACAGAAUGCAUCUUUUUGCACUCUGUGAAGGUCCCCAUACAAACUCCAAUCCAGACAAACACAAAUCCAGAGCUCUGAAGUGUGAGAUACAUGACUCUUUCAUCUUCCAGUCACUAUAAUUGUUUAGGUUUUUGGCAUACCUAUGGCUUUCAUGUCAUCGCAUUUUCUUGUAUCUGUUUUCCCACAAUGGCAUAUUUCAAAGACUACAGUGAGAUGGGAAGAAGAAGAAGAAGACAAUGACAGUAGGUGAGAGCUGGAUUUCAGUUUAGUUGAUGUUUACUAUGCUGUAUGAAAUAAGUGCUGAUGUAGUGAAAUGGAAAAGUACAAUAUUUUAUUUAUGUAGCACAGUAGAAUUCUCAGGGCAGGUGGAAGGGACUCGUGAAGAAUGUGAAUUAAAUCUAGGCAUAUCGAAUUUUUAGACACUCUUGAUAAGAUCUAGCUAUUCAAAGAAACUUUCCUGUCAGAAAAACCUCUAAAAUGUUUUUUCAACAAAAUGCAAGCAGAAAUAUCCAUCGAUAGUGCUUGGGCCAUUUCAAGCAUUUGUGCCAGCUUGCCUUAAUAAUAGUCUAAUUUGUGUGCCAGUGUCAAAGCUAUAUGAAAAUAUAGUUCAUUGUAUUUAAUGAGGAUGAAUUUUGAACUAGAUAACUUUAAUAAAGUCCCAGAUAAACUGGAUUCCAAAGAGUACAACUGUUUUACAAAGGCCACAGUGUAUGAAUAAUCCAAUAAUAAAAAUUUCAGAUAAAUGCAUAAUUUUCAGUACUUACCAGCUAUUCACCAGUAGGUUACCUGGUCCUGGACAAGGAUUAUUUCAGCCAAUGCACACCCCAGAUUGAAUGUUUCAACUAUCCUGCUUGAGACCAACUUAAAAUUCUACCAGCGUAAAGUCUACCGAAAUUUGUACUAAUUGUCUAAUCGUCAAUGUUUAUUCUUAGUCCUUGACUUGUUGUUGACUCAGCAGUUACACUCAGUGGUUACAUUAUUAAGUACACUUGUUUGUUAAUGCAAACAAUGCAUUCCUCCAAACCGAAUUAUGUCACUGAAUAUACAGCAUGCGGGCUCAGCCAAGAGCUUCACUUAUUGUUUGACUAAGCGUUAGAAGUGCUAAGAUGCUUAAUAUUAAGCAAUUUUGAACAUGCUCGACCAGUUGUGGUGGUUCUAGUACCUCAGACGCAGCCAUUCUCUUGGUAUUUUCAUGCACUACAAAUUCUGGACCUUACAGAGAAAGGAGUGAUGAAUAAAAAAAAGAAAACAUUCUGCUGGCAUUUCUCUGGCAAAUAACACCUUGUUAAUGAGAGGUCAGAGGAGAAUUCCCAGACUCAUUAAAGCUAACAGACAGACAACAAGUGCAGAAAGAGCAGUUCGGUACCACAGUUGUGUAGAGAAUAGUUUCUUAGAACGCACAACUCAUCUGCUUUUGAAGCCGUUCUAGAGGAUAAAAUAUGUUUUCUGCCUGGUACUAAAUUGGUGUAUGUAAUAAAUUGGCCAUCAUGUGUAUUGUAGUAGUGACCAUUUGUAUGCCAUAGUUGUAAGUCCAUUCCAUCCCACUUUUGACUGUAAAUUGGAUUAUCAAUAUCUACAUCCAUCCAUCCAUCCAUCCAUUUUCCAUAAUGGUUUAUCCAAUAUAGCAUAACAGUGAACUUGUUGUAUUGUUUUAAUUCUAUGUAUAUAUGCAUCUAUAAAUAGCCAUUUUCUUCAUACUAAAUCCAGUUACUUCAGUGUAACACCGCUGUAGCCAAUGGAUAGCUGCUAAUACAUCAAACAGUGGGAAAGAGUUGAUCAAUGUUUUUUCAGCACUGUGUUGAUAGCAAAAAAGCUACAGUAGGUACUUGUUUAGUCCCCCUCCCCCCCAGUUAGCAUGGAACCAGUAAAAUAGGUCGUGUCAGUUCACUAAGUUUGAUUUGUUACAGGCAGACAGCUUUCCACUUGCACCCAAA